rnacentral:rRNA from 1 species
GACGAACGCUGGCGGCGUGCUUAACACAUGCAAGUCGAACGGAAAGGCCCUGCUUUUGUGGGGUGCUCGAGUGGCGAACGGGUGAGUAACACGUGAGUCACCUUCCCUUGACUUUGGGAUAACUUCAGGAAACUGGGGCUAAUACCUGAUAGGAGCUCCUGCUGCAUGGUGGGGGUUGGACAGUUUCGGCGGUUGGGGAUGGACUCGCGGCUUAUCAGCUUGUUGGUGGGGUAGUGGCUUACCAAGGCUUUGACGGGUAGCCGGCCUGAGAGGGGGACCGGCCACAUGGGGACUGAGAGACGGCCCAGACUCCUACGGGAGGCAGCAGUGGGGAAUAUUGCACAAUGGGCGGAAGCCUGAGGAAGCAACGCCGCGUGCGGGAUGAAGGCCUUCGGGGUGUAAACCGCUUUCGCCUGUGACGAAGCGUGAGUGACGGUAAUGGGUAAAGAAGCACCGGCUAACUACGUG